rnacentral:rRNA from 1 species
AUUGAACGCUGGCGGCAGGCCUAACACAUGCAAGUCGGGCGAGCGGCGGACGGGUGAGUAAUGUAUGGGGAUCUGCCUGCUGGCGGGGGAUACCUACUGGAAACGGUAGCUAAUACCGCAUACCCUCAGAUGCACCCAUAUGGGAUUAGCUUGUAGUUGAGGUAACGGCUCACCUAGCCGACGAUCUCUAGCUGGUCUGAGAGGAUGCACAGCCACACGGGAAAUGAGACACGGGCGACACUCCUCAGGGUGGCACCAGGGGGGAAGAUAGCAAAAUGGGCGCAAGCGUGAUGCAGCCAUGCAGAGGGUAUGAAGAAGGCCUUCGGGUUGUAAAGUACUUUAGGUAGAGAGGAGUUAGCUACAGAAGAAGCACCGGCUAACUCCGUGCCAGCAGACGCGGGAAUUC